rnacentral:lncRNA from 1 species
GCUGGGUUUUGAGAAUUGUUUGACUCUAUUGCUUACGAUAGUUACCUAAGUAUGAAACUUGCUUUCACAUAAUGUCUAGGUUGUCAAAAAAAAUAAAUUCUGAACUGAAAAGGUGCCUGUGAUAAAGCAGUGAUUUUUUUGUUUUUUUUGUUUUUGUUUGAAAUCUCUGAGACUGAGAAUCUCCACAGGUGACGUUUGACCUCCCCGUCUCACUUGUCCAAAGGACAUGAAUGCCAAUAUGUAAGAUUAAUUUAUGACGACUAUGAUGACUAUGAUUGUACAUGAAUAAAGAAAUGUAAUGUUUUUUCCAAGCAGAGAAGCUUUUGUUGUCAUAAUUAUUAUAUGGGGUAAAUGGACUGCAUUUAUAUAGCAUAUAUAUAUAUUCAACUCAUAGAGCACUCAAAGCGCUUUACAGAUGAACGCCUCAGACAUCAUUCAUACACCGAUGGCAGAGUCUACUAUCUAAGUUGCCUAUCUAAGUCUAUAUUACUGUUUGAAGUUCUGCCUGGUCCUGAAGCCCCAAUGCAUUAUUGACACACUGAGAGUCAUUGGCUGUGAUAGACGUUCUGAGAACUACACAAAUCCUCAUUUUCUUUUUUUCCAUUGUUUCUGGAUUCCAAGUAAUUGCACUAUUGGUACAAACAUGUUGACAGAGUAUGCUACUCCACACACUGGCCAUUAACUUUGCCUUGUGUGCCGAAAUAUUGUAUCUAAUAUUAUAUUCUCCACUUUCUCAGUAUAACUUAUCUUUUGAAUUAGCUGUGAACAUGAUGGGCUCCUGAUUUCAUUUGGAGUCUUUGGUUUCGUAAACAAUCUAACAUUGACAAAUGUAAAACACCUUCCAGUAAUGUUCUUCUGGCAAAGUGAAGUUUACUAACACCAUUUAAAACAUUCUGUAACUCUUUAUUAAACACUAUUAUUGUCCCUGCUUCUGUAAAUCAGGAUCACUCAUAUGUAACUGUUUUGAUCAUGGAAGGAUGUCUACUUGUGAAUGAAGUCUCGUUUACGGCUUUCAUUCUCAAUCAGUAUACCUGUUGCUGUUUUACAUUGUGUAUGACCUUGUCUUAACAUACUGUGUUGUGUGGUGUCAUGACUAAACGGUCUUCCUGUGAGACUCAGAUUAAGAGUCAGACAUGUUAAUAAACCACUGUGAAUUAAAACCA